AUCUUCGGCAAUGGGGGCAACCCUGACCGAGCGACGCCGCGUGUGCGACGAAGGCCUUCGGGUUGUAAAGCACUGUCGAGGGGGAGAAAGGCCGCAAGGCGUGAUCUAUCCCUGGAGGAAGCUCGGGCUAAGUUCGUGCCAGCAGCCGCGGUAAGACGAACCGAGCGAACGUUGUUCGGAAUAACUGGGCUUAAAGGGCGCGUAGGCGGGCCGCCAAGUUCGAGGUGAAAUCCUCCGGCUCAACCGGAGAACUGCCUCGAAUACUGGAGGCCUCGAGGCGGGUAGGGGCGUGCGGAACUGUGGGUGGAGCGGUGAAAUGCGUUGAUAUCCACAGGAACUCCAGUGGCGAAGGCGGCACGCUGGACCCGAUCUGACGCUGAGGCGCGAAAGCCAGGGGAGCAAAC
rnacentral:rRNA from 1 species